rnacentral:rRNA from 1 species
AACAUUGCAAAAUGGACGUAAGUCUAAUGCAGCAACGCCGUGUGAGGGAUGUCGGCCUUUGGGUUAUAAACCUUUUUUAGUAAGGAAGUAGCCUUCGGGUGGCGGUACCUGCAGAUAAAUCACCGGCUAAUUCUGUGCUAGCAGCCGCGGUAAUACGGAGGAUCCAAGCGUUAUCCGGAAUCAUUGGGUUUAAAGGGUCCGUAGGCGCCCUUAUAAGUCAGCGGUGAAAGUUUUUGGCUUAACCAAAAAAUUGCCGUUGAUACUGUAGGGCUUGAAUUUUUGUGAAGUAACUAGAAUAUGUAGUGUAGCGGUGAAAUGCUUAGAUAUUACAUGGAAUACCAAUUGCGAAGGCAGGUUACUAACAAACGAUUGACGCUGAUGGACGAAAGCGUGGGUAGCGAACAG